CAUCUGGCCUUCCGUCUGCCACGGGCAGCAGAGGAGCCGCAGUCGUCACUACUAGAGGCAACGAUGCCCCACCCAUCAGAUUGAAAGCAUGAAGUUAACAUACAAGAUUCCAGCUCUCUCCACUGCUGUUAACUUUUCACCAGCAUGCAUUAUCUGGGAUGAAGUGGAGCUAUAUUUUUCCCCAUCUUGUGAAACACACUGUCCAUAUUCUCACCAUAGUUAUUCCCAUCUACCAAGAUGAACCAGCACCAACUGAAAUGGCUCUAGGUCGAGCUGGAAGCAUAGCAGAAUACCAAAUGCACAUACUCCUCCUCCCCACACAACUCUGCACAUGCUCAGGACAUCAAGGAUCCGCUCUGUCUCUAGCUCAGGAUCAAAAAGUCCAGUUACGGCCCCAUAGCCACUUAAGAAAACGAAAAGAACAUUUUUGUUUCUUCCUUCCAAAGUGUUCAAAAUAUCAAUGGCCUUUGUAAACACUUAAAGCCAAGAGAAUUUGGACUUAGAACAGACUGAUCUUGAAAGCCUGCUUUCACUCUGAGGAAAACAGACUCAUUAAACUCAACUGGGGCAAAAUGCUACACUCUAAUGCAGGCAAUGUACCUCGAUUCCAAGCACAUGUGUAGAACUCAGUCAGAUCAUAGGAAUGGUCCUUUCAGUCUGGCAUCUUGUCUCCAACACUACCAGUACCAAAUACUUCAAAGGAAGGUGCAAGAAACCCCAUUCUGGACAAUGAUGGAAUAAUCCACCCAGAUGGAGAGUUUUUGGUGUAAGCAGAGGUGUGAGUGAGGAGAAUUGUGCAUACUCCUGCAGUGCCGGAGCCAAAAGGACUUGGAGAGACUCAAGCCCACAAGAUUGCCACAUCUGAAACCAGCAACUUCAACUUCCCAGCCUCUUAUGGGACAGAACUGAUUCCCUGCGGAUGAGGCAGAAGGAUUUCCCUGCCUGAGUUCCACUCCUCUGCUGUAAGACUCCAGCUUGGCUAUGUGGGAUGUCCCCUUCCCAGGCUUGAGAGCCACCACUCCAGCCCGAGCCAUAACAUUUACACAAGCUCUGCUAGCAGGGGUCCAGGCCUCCCCAGGUGCAGUGUUUGACAUACCUUGCAUGACCAAGGGAGAUGACUGGACUAGCAGUGAGCUCUCCUCAGUGUGGUGAUGCAGGAGAUGGAUGGGAAGGAGAUGGGGGAGCUGAGAGAAGAUCAGGAAACUGGAC
rnacentral:lncRNA from 1 species